rnacentral:lncRNA from 1 species
UGCCUUCAUAUUGGCAUCGAUCAGAAGCACCUUCCUUAAUACGAAUAUAAUUCUGUGCAUGCUUGAGUAAUUCAGCAUAUGUUUGGAGGAGCGUUUUGUCCAAAGAAUAGGUGAACCUAGAACUGCAUAACCCUCUCUUCAUGAUCGAGAUGGUCGUGGACUCAUUGAGGUCAUGGACCUCCAAUGUGGCAGUGUUGAAAUGCGCCAUG